rfam:Solenopsis invicta Si_gnG.contig67796, whole genome shotgun sequence.
AAAUGAAUUGUUAUCUAUGCGAUAUAUCACGCGUUUUAUGUUAGAAUCCGUCGAACAAGCGUGGAUUUGCAUUAGAAACAAACUAUUAAAGUUUCUAUCGCAUUCCCCGUUCUUAGUUGUUGGAGCGACGUUUCUGGUUAAUUCCGAAAAUGAACGGGACUCUAGCCUGCUAAAUAGGCGUACCUUAUGGUAUCUUGAAAGCCCCCGGCCUCGGUCGGCGUGUUUUUACUACCAACGCACAAACAGAUUUUCUUAGAAGGACAGGCGGCUUCUAGCCGCACGAGAUUGAGCAAUAACAGGUCUGUGAUGCCCUUAUAUGUUCUGAGACGCACGGGCGCUACAUUGAAAGAAUGAGCGUGUUCCCUGGCCGAAAGGCCCGGGUAACCAACUGAACCUCCUUCGUGCUAGGGAUUGUUGCUUGCAAUUGUUACACAUGAACAAAGAAUUACCAGUAGACACCAGUCAUAAGCUUGCGUUGAUUACGUCCGAGCA